rnacentral:tRNA from 1 species
GCCUGGAUGGCUCAGUUCGUUGAGCAUCUGACUUCAACUCAGGUCAUGAUCUCACAGUUCAUGGGUUCGAGCCCCGCAUUGGGCU